rnacentral:rRNA from 1 species
AUGCUGGAUGACGGAUGUGAAGGGAAAUCCUCUCACGAGGGCGCUGCUGCUCAAAGUGGCGAAGGGAAAUCGGCGGUGCUGCUACGUGACGGCAGCAACGGGAGAUCGACGGCGUUACUGCUGACGGCGGAGGGAGAUCCCCGCGCCGCUGCUCACGGUGGAGGGAGGUCGCCUGCUUCGUUGUCCAUGGCGGAGAAGGGAGAGGGCCGGCCGGCUUCGUUGUCCACGGCGGAGAAGGGAGAGGGCCGGCCGCCGGCGUUGUUGCUGACGGAGGCGAAGGAAGAUCUCCGGCGCUGCUGA